GACGAACGCUGGCGGCGUGCUUAACACAUGCAAGUGGAGCGACGAACCAGGCUUCGGCCUGGGGCAGAGCCGCGAACGGGUGAGUAACACGUGGGUAACCUGCCCUGAUGAUCGGGACAACCCGGGAACCGGGCUAAUACCGAAUGUGCCCGCGAGCCGCAAGGCUUGCGAGGAAAGGAAGCUUCGGCCUCCGCAUCGGGAUGGGCCCGCGGCCCAUUAGCUUGUUGGUGGGGUAACGGCCUACCAAGGCAGCAAUGGGUAGCUGGUCUGAGAGGACGAUCAGCCACACUGGGACUGAGACACGGCCCAGACUCCUACGGGAGGGCAGCAGUGGGGAAUCUUGCGCAAUGCGCGAAAGCGUGACGCAGCAACGCCGCGUGGGGGAAGACGGCCUCGGUGUAACCCUUAC
rnacentral:rRNA from 1 species